AAACGGGAGAAGUAAGGCCGUCCUAAAGGUAGUGAAGUUGGUGAUUGGGGUG
rnacentral:rRNA from 1 species